rnacentral:rRNA from 1 species
UACGUAGGGUGCAAGCGUUAAUCGGAAUUACUGGGCGUAAAGCGUGCGCAGGCGGUUAUGCAAGACAGAUGUGAAAUCCCCGGGCUUAACCUGGGAACCGCAUUUGUGGCUGCAUAGCUGGAGUACGGCAGAGGGGGAUGGAAUUCCGCGUGUAGCAGUGAAAUGCGUAGAUAUGCGGAGGAACACCGAUGGCGAAGGCAGUCCCCUGGGCCUGUACUGACGCUCAUGCACGAAAGCGUGGGGAGCAAACAGG